AAUACUCUAUACACACAGUCACACGCGUAAACACACAAAAUAAAAUAGUGGAGGUUCAGGAAGAAUUUUGAGCAACACAAGCUUUGGCCAUCAAUAUACCGAAACUCACAUGAACUUAGAUUGUUGAAACACAGUGUACUUUUUCUUCUUUGCUUCUUUUGCUACUUAACAAAUAUGCAUACAUAUAAAAAAGAGGACUAACUACAAGCCUAACUCACAGUCAACAUAUCAAAAGAGUGCCAAA
rnacentral:misc_RNA from 1 species